rnacentral:rRNA from 1 species
ACGCUGGCGGCAGGCCUAACACAUGCAAGUCGAGCGGCAGCACGGGUACUUGUACCUGGUGGCGAGCGGCGGACGGGUGAGUAAUGCCUAGGAAUCUGCCUGGUAGUGGGGGAUAACGCUCGGAAACGGACGCUAAUACCGCAUACGUCCUACGGGAGAAAGCAGGGGACCUUCGGGCCUUGCGCUAUCAGAUGAGCCUAGGUCGGAUUAGCUAGUUGGUGGGGUAAUGGCUCACCAAGGCGACGAUCCGUAACUGGUCUGAGAGGAUGAUCAGUCACACUGGAACUGAGACACGGUCCAGACUCCUACGGGAGGCAGCAGUGGGGAAUAUUGGACAAUGGGCGAAAGCCUGAUCCAGCCAUGCCGCGUGUGUGAAGAAGGUCUUCGGAUUGUAAAGCACUUUAAGUUGGGAGGAAGGGUUGUAGAUUAAUACUCUGCAAUUUUGACGUUACCGACAGAAUAAGCACCGGCUAACUCUGUGCCAGCAGCCGCGGUAAUACAGAGGGUGCAAGCGUUAAUCGGAAUUACUGGGCGUAAAGCGCGCGUAGGUGGUUUGUUAAGUUGGACGUGAAAUCCCCGGGCUCAACCUGGGAACUGCAUUCAAAACUGACUGACUAGAGUAUGGUAGAGGGUGGUGGAAUUUCCUGUGUAGCGGUGAAAUGCGUAGAUAUAGGAAGGAACACCAGUGGCGAAGGCGACCACCUGGACUAAUACUGACACUGAGGUGCGAAAGCGUGGGGAGCAAAC